GCCAGCGACAAGGGACCGGGCGACAGGAAAGCCAACCGCCGCGGCGCGGCGCGUCUCGCCGCCGUGCAGGCGCUGUACCAGAUGGACAUUGCAGGCGCCGGCAUCGAGGACNGCGGAGUUUGAGAGCCACUGGCUCGGCAGCGAGGUCGAAGGCGACACCUACCUGCCGGCCGAGGCGGCGUUCUUCAAGGACGUGGUGUCCGGUGUGGUGCGCGACCAAAGCAAGCUCGAUCCGCUGAUCGACAAGGCGCUCGAAAG
rnacentral:misc_RNA from 1 species